UGUGGACUUUUGCAGAGGCCGGCGCUUCAUCUGAUACCUGACCAGGACUGUUCUGCGUGUCCCGCCAUCUGCCUGACUGUACUGUAACCACGGCCUUCUGUCGCUUCUUUCUUGGGGGCGGUGUUUUCAUGGAAAGCUGGCUUCACUCUGGCAGCGGCAGCGGCGACGUACGCACGUCAUUUAAUCAACCUGUGUGGAUUUUUGCAGAGGCCGGCGCUUCAUCUGAUACCUGACCAGGACUGUUCUGCGCGUCCCGCCAUCUGCCUGACUGUACUGUAACCACGGCCUUCUGUCGCUUCUGUCUUGGGGGCGGUGUUUUCAUGGAAAGCUGGUUUCACUCUGGUAGCGGCAGCGGCGACGUACGCAUGUCAUUUUAUCAACUGUGUGGAUUUUUGCAGGGCUACUGGAGGUGGCAAAGUGGGUGGCGUGGACGGCCGCGUCCUCGACGUCCUUAUGAGGACAGGAGGGGUCCUUGUUUCCCCCCCUGAGUACUUCCCCGAUAGCGAGGACGAGGCAAGUUCGGAGGAAGCUGCAGGGCCCAGCGGUUCCCGCGGACAUCCACCAGCGACAACUGCUUUCGUGGUGUCGGGCCCUGCAGCUGUGGCUG